rnacentral:rRNA from 1 species
UACAGAGGGUGCGAGCGUUAAUCGGAAUUACUGGGCGUAAAGCGUGCGUAGGCGGUCGUGUAAGUCGGGUGUGAAAGCCCCGGGCUCAACCUGGGAAUUGCAUUCGAGACUGCACGGCUGGAGUGCGGAAGAGGGAAGCGGAAUUUCCGGUGUAGCGGUGAUAUGAGUAGAUAUCGGAAGGAACAUCAGUGGCGAAAGCGGCUUCCUGGUCCACCACUGACGCUCAGGCACGACAGCGUGGGGAGCAGACAGG